rnacentral:rRNA from 1 species
GUCCGGAAUUAUUGGGCGUAAAGCGCGCGUAGGCGGUUUCUUAAGUCUGAUGUGAAAUCUUGCGGCUCAACCGCAAGCGGUCAUUGGAAACUGGGGAACUUGAGUACAGAAGAGGAGAGCGGAAUUCCACGUGUAGCGGUGAAAUGCGUAGAUAUGUGGAGGAACACCAGUGGCGAAGGCGGCUCUCUGGUCUGUAACUGACGCUGAGGUGCGAAAGCGUGGGGAGCGAACAGGAUUAGAUACCCUGGUAGUCCACGCCGUAAACGAUGAGUGCUAGGUGUUAGGGGGUUUCCGCCCCUUAGUGCUGCAGUUAACGCAUUAAGCACUCCGCCUGGGGAGUACGGCCGCAAGGCUGAAACUCAAAAGAAUUGACGGGGGCCCGCACAAGCGGUGGAGCAUGUGGUUUAAUUCGACGCAACGCGAAGAACCUUACCAGGUCUUGACAUCUUCGGAUGACCCUAGAGAUAGGGAGUUCCCUUCGGGGACCGAAUGACAGGUGGUGCAUGGUUGUCGUCAGCUCGUGUCGUGAGAUGUUGGGUUAAGUCCCGCAACGAGCGCAACCCUUGAUCUUAGUUGCCAGCAUUCAGUUGGGCACUCUAAGGUGACUGCCGGUGACAAACCGGAGGAAGGUGGGGAUGACGUCAAAUCAUCAUGCCCCUUAUGACCUGGGCUACACACGUGCUACAAUGGAUGGUACAAAGGGCAGCGAAGCCGCGAGGUGAAGCCAAUCCCAUAAAACCAUUCUCAGUUCGGAUUGCAGGCUGCAACUCGCCUGCAUGAAGCCGGAAUCGCUAGUAAUCGCGGAUCAGCAUGCCGCGGUGAAUACGUUCCCGGGCCUUGUACACACCGCCCGUCACACCACGAGAGUUGGCAACACCCGAAGUCGGUGGGGUAACCUUGGAGCCAGCCG